rnacentral:rRNA from 1 species
UACGUAGGGGGCAAGCGUUGUCCGGAAUCAUUGGGCGUAAAGCGCGUGUAGGCGGUCCGGUAGGUCAGCUGUGAAAGUCAAGGGCUCAACCCUUGAAUGCCGGUUGAUACUGUCGGGCUAGAGUCCGGAAGAGGCGAGUGGAAUUCCCGGUGUAGCGGUGAAAUGCGUAGAUAUCAGGAGGAACACCGGUGGCGAAGGCGGGUCUCUGGGCCGAUACUGACGCUGAGGAGCGAAAGCGUGGGGAGCGAACAGG